rnacentral:lncRNA from 1 species
CACUACAUAAUCAUUCAUUAUCUUUACAAUUAACCAUCUAAAGCUACCACAGUUUGAUUGUAUAUCUACAUAUAUAGAGAGAGUACACUUCAUAAUUUCGUCCCUUGUCUUUCGUAAACGAAGCACGGAAAUUUGAUACCCAGUAUUAUAAGGCAGGUCGUAAAAGCAAUCUUCCUGCACAUAUUUAAAAAUAAUAGCAAAGUCAGGAAAAUAAAGUAAAUAGGUCACCAGAGGCACUUAGUGCCAAAAUCAAUACACAAAGUCGUAGUUUUGCUACCAGUUUAGUUGCAUCCUUUGCAGCAUUCACGGCAAGCACCUGGACAAGACACUUGUCACGAAUAAGUACA